rnacentral:lncRNA from 1 species
AGCCCAGGUUGGCUGCCUACAAUCAGAGUCCACAUAUGUUCGGGGGAGGGACCCCAGAAGGCGGCUGACAGUAUUCCUUUAGCCAGAAAUCCCUUCAGGGAAGAGAAAGGUGCUCCCCUUUGCCUGCUUUUAUACUACAGACUGUUUCCAACUCCAGCUAGAAGUGACUAUUGCCGAUUAUGCUAAUCAGUGGCGACAAGCUCCCUUUGACUGCUCACUUCUCCAGUGAGGCUUCAAGCUUCUAGGCAUCAAGAUUAUAUUUUCCAGAAAAUAUUUCAAGCAGAAUAUACUUAUUUUCCAGUUUUGAAAACAACUAGAUUGCCCAUCUCCAUUUCUCUCUAUCAUCUACUGUAUUAUUCUAUGGACAACUGCCACCCUAAUAAGGUCAAGAAGGGAAGCCAGAAGUCAAGGCCACAGAAGACACAGGAAACAUCAUUUCCAAAGUGGGAGACAAAGCUGUUAACAGGAAAUUAUUUGUAAAGUCAAGAGCCAAGCAAAACAGAAAAAGGACAAGAAAUCUAUCACCUGUGGGUAUGAAUGGUUCUAGGGAAGUCUGUUGACAAUUGGAGGGUCUCAAAGGCGCUUUAUGGUACUUAUUUUAUGACCCUGAGUCUGGAGUCUGAUGAAUUAAAGAGGAAAUUCUGCUCUGGGCAACAUUUAAGAGAUAGUAUCUCCAGGCAGUAACUUUCGUAUUAACUCUCAUAAGAUUGAUGCCAUUCUGUCAUCUAAAGUGUGGACAAAAGUAGCAUUAAAGCAAAAUGAAAGGAUAUACUAA